rnacentral:lncRNA from 1 species
GUUGGAUAUUAUUCUUGGCGUAAUUGUUUUGUCAUAAGUUAAAUUUACAACAAUUUAGUUUUAAACACAAACACAUUUUGAUUUUAAUUCAUAUUCGCUGAGUAUUAAUUUUGUCAUACAGCUAAUUUCCUAAUGUAUGUAGGGUAAAACUUUGGUUGGCUUCCUUGCUUUGUUUGUAUAAAUGUUCAAGCUUUGUAAUUAAGAUUGACAUCUUCAUAUAUAGGUAUGUUAACCUGUAGAUUUGAUAUUUAAAUUCAAUUGGACAUUAUCAAAAUAUAAUUGUACAAAAUAUACAAACGAAGAAGGCAAACUAACCAAAGUGUUGAUCUACAUACAUUAGGAAAUUAGCUGUAAGCUUCAGUCAGAACAGGCGAAAUGAUUAUCAUUUCUUCUUAAGACAAUUUGAAAUGAAACAAAUGACAAACGACAAUGACCCUUUAGCAUAAUUUUAUUUUUAUUCUAAGAUUUUGUCAAAAAAGCAGUAUAAAUAAAUUUUAACUUCAUUGCAAGAUCGAACGUUAUUGUACUAGAAUCAUCCAGACAUCAGUGCCAGUAUGUCAAAACUUCUAGGAAUAAUUUUGUAUCGGCCUGACCUUCUGAAUACUCAAUUUUUGAAAUUUUUGAAAAAUUGACAUUAAAAUUAGAAGGAUCAGAUCAUAGGGAACAUGUGUACUAAGUUUUAAGUCGAUAGGACUUCAACUUCAUCAAAAACUACCUUGACCAAAAACUUUAACCUGAAGCGGGACGGACGGACGAUCGAACGGACAAACGGACGCACAGACCAGAAAACAUGAAUUGGACAUAAAAAUAACUUUUGCAAUUCUAAAUAGCCCGGUAACCUGUACACAAUCGGCACAAAUGAAAGACAAAAUCUACACGCGA